rnacentral:rRNA from 1 species
CCUACGGGAGGCAGCAGUCAGGAAUAUUGCGCAAUGGAGGAAACUCUGACGCAGCGACGCCGCGUGGGUGAUGAAGGCCUUCGGGUCGUAAAGCCCUGUCGGAGGGGAAGAAAAGUUG